GAACUUCAGUCUUAUAAGGUGAGAGCGAAACAGUCAUCAUGCAUGCAAGAGUGGCAAGGCGCUUGAGCGUGGCAAUUUUGGCUAGCAUAGUCAUAAUAAUUUUUCUCUACGAACUUAAAAAUAAUACUAUGAAUGAGCCAAAUACUGUUUCGACAGGUCCAACAAAAAGCAAACUAAUGAGCCUUGAAGAUCUGAAUGGACGAGAGGAAUUCGACGAUUUACUCCUUACGUACGCCAAAGAUGUUAUGAUUGAGCCAUCGGAUCGAAAUGUGCCAUACUUCAUGAAUAACCCGAAAACUACAGAUUUCAGUGGCUUGAACUCAACCCUGAUAAUGUACACCCUAUUGAAAAACAAAAAAAACGGAUUUUUUGUAGACUGUGGAGCGUAUGACGGUGAACACGGGUCCGUUUCCAUGAAUUUGGAGAUGGAAUUUAACUGGACGGGACUGCUUGUGGACGCGGGACCCUCGGGAUUGCAAAAAAUCUUGCUAAAGAGCAGAAAAGCGUGGUUAGCUCCGACGUGCAUGAGCACAGAAAGAAAAUCCAUGAUGGUCUCAUUUGAGGAGAGAGGUAUGCAAAGUAAAAUUUCAAAGAAUGACGGAAAAACAUCAGGUCCGGUGGUGAGAUCUCUGUGUUUGCCUUUUCAUACCAUGAUGAAGGCGAUGGGGGUGUCAAAAGUGGACCUUUUCAACUUGGACGUGGAGGGGAUGGAGCUGCCCAUUUGAAAACCAUUGACUUUAAUCUCGUGCAGAUUGACGCUAUGGUUAUUGAGCACUACAAUAAUAAUGAGACUGUUAGAAGCGAAAUCAAACGAAUAAUGGAGGCCAACGGAUUCAAGUUUUAUCAGAAAAACAACUACGACUUUUUGUUUAUUCACAGUCGCGUGUAAAAGCCUGUCCUUAAUUUAAAGUUAUUUGGAUGUAGCAUGAAUUUAAGGAUAAAUAUCUGGUUCUGACAAAGAGCAAGCAGUUUGAUGUGUAACUGUA